rnacentral:rRNA from 1 species
GGGUAGUCCCAGCCGUAAACGAUGCUCACUAGGUGUGGGGGAGAUAAAUCCUCCGUGCUGAAGCUAACGCGAUAAGUGAGCCGCCUGGGGAGUAUGCCCGCAAGGGUGAAACUCAAAGGAAUUGACGGGGGCCCGCACAAGCGGUGGAGCGCGUGGUUUAAUUGGAUGCUGAGCCAAGAACCUUACCAGGGCUUGACAUGCCGGUGUACCGACCCGAAAGGGGAGGGCCCAUCUCCUAUGAGGUGGGGGCCGCACAGGUGGUGCACGGCCGUCGUCAGCUCGUGCCGUGAGGUGUUGGGUUAAGUCCCGCAACGAGCGCAACCCCUGCCCUUAGUUGCCAGCGGAGGAAGCCGGGCAUUCUAAGGGGACUGCCGUCGACGAGGCGGAGGAAGGAGGGGAUGACGUCAGGUAAUCGUGCCCCUUAUGCCCUGGGCGACACACGCGCUACAAUGGGGGAGGGACAGAGGGGAGGCGA